UACGGGGGGGGCAAGCGUUUGUUCGGAAUUACUGGGCGUAAAGGGCUCGUAGGCGGCCAACUAAGUCAGACGUGAAAUCCCCAGGCUCAACCUGGGAACUGCGUCUGAUACUGGUUGGCUUGAAUCCGGGAGAGGGAUGCAGAAUUCCAGGUGUAGCGGUGAAAUGCGCAGAUAUCAGGAGGAACACCGGUGGCGAAGGCGGUUCUCUGGGCAUGAUCUGACGCUGAGGAGCGAAAGUGUGGGGAGCGAACAGG
rnacentral:rRNA from 1 species